rnacentral:rRNA from 1 species
UGAGUAACGCGUAUGCGACCUGCCCGUUGCACGGGGGAUAAUCGGGAGAAAUCCCGUCUAAUACCGCGUAAUGCCGCCGGGGGCUGCAUGGCCCUGCGGCCAAAGGGAGCGAUUCCGGCAACCGGAUGGGCAUGCGUGACAUUAGCUAGUUGGCGGGGCAACGGCCCACCAAGGCGACGAUGUCUAGGGGUUCUGAGAGGAAGGUACCCCCACACUGGUACUGAGACACGGACCAGACUCCUACGGAAGGCAGCAG